rnacentral:rRNA from 1 species
AAGAGACAGCAGCCGCCGCGGUAAUACGAAGGGGGCUAGCGUUGUUCGGAAUUACUGGGCGUAGAGCGCACGUAGGCGGAUAUUUAAGUCAGGGGUGAAAUCCCAGAGCUCAACUCUGGAACUGCCUUUGAUACUGGGUAUCUUGAGUAUGGAAGAGGUGAGUGGAAUUCCGAGUGUAGAGGUGAAAUUCGUAGAUAUUCGGAGGAACACCAGUGGCGAAGGCGGCUCACUGGUCCAUUACUGACGCUGAGGUGCGAAAGCGUGGGUAGCAAACAGGAUUAGAUACCCGCGUAGUCCCUGUCUCUUAUAC